rnacentral:tRNA from 1 species
AAUAAGGUAAGCUAAACUAAGCUAGUGGGCCCAUAACCCAAAAAUGAUCACAAAUUCCCUUACUA